rnacentral:rRNA from 1 species
AUGGUGCUUCAACUUGUGUGUCAGGUGGUCAGUGUACUCUGGCUUGCCGUUCAUCACUUCGCAGAACACCGCCGACAAAACUUCGGCAAGCACACCAAGAACAUUCGCUUCAAAGAGAACUAUGGACGCGAGCCCGGAGCCCACCGCCGUGCCAUUAACCAUAGCAAGGCCUUCCUUGGGUUGCAGCUCGAAGAAGCCGUGCUGGAUGCCCGCAAUCUUAAAUGCCUCGGCGGCAUUAACCUUGGUGCCAUCAGGAGCCACGGCCACGGCAUUCGGGCGGCCGGUGACAAGUCCCGCGAUGUAGGAGAGCGGGACGAGGUCGCCGGAAGCGGUGAUGGUGCCCCGGAGCGGCAGGCACGGUGUCACGUUGGCAUUGAGCAGCGUGGCGAUGGUCUCGAGGAUCUCGAAGCGGAUGCCGGAGUAGCCUUGGAGCAGGGUGUUGACGCGGACAAGCAUCGCCGCGCGCGUGGUGGCCGCGGGCAGCACGUGGCCGUCGCUGCCGGUGCCGAACGCCCCGGCGUUAAGGAACCGGAUGAGCUCCCUCUGCAGCGCGCCCCCCUCCUUGGUCCUCCGAUGGGAGGUGGCGCCGAAGCCGGUGGUGACGCCGUAGCUGUCGGUGCCGUUGGCCAUGCUGGUCAUGACCCAGUCGCUGCUCUCCUUGACGCGGCCGCGGGCGGACUCGUCGAGCUCCACCCUGGCCCCGUCGGCGGCGGCCACCGCCGCGACCUGGGCGAUGGUCAAGCUUGCGCCCUCCAUAACCACCACCGGCCUGCGGUACUCCUCCACCAUCCGCUUGACGGCGUCCAGGUGGCUCCCCGACAGCGCCUCCGCGGCUUUCCCCCAGUUGAGCGGGUCGGCACUCCGCGGCUCGGCCACGCACAAACCGUCGUUGCCGUUGGCCGCCAUUGGUUUGAUCUACAAUGGAUCUUGAAGUCUCGAUGUAGCAGUUGUGGGAGAGAAGAGCUCGAGCAGAGACUAGAGGCUGGCGAUCUCUACUGUAGCAGCUGA